rnacentral:rRNA from 1 species
UACGUAGGGCCUAGCGUUGUCCGGAUUUAUUGGGCGUAAAGAGCUCGUAGGCGGUGUGUCGCGUCGGCCGUGAAAACCUGGGCCUCAACUCUGGGCGUGCGGUCGAUACGGGCAGACUGGAGUACGUGCAGGGGAGACGUGGAAUUCCGGGUGUAGCGGUGGAAUGCGUAGAGAUCCGGAAGAACACCGGUGGCGAAGGCGGUUAGCUGGGC